rnacentral:rRNA from 1 species
GAUGAACGCUGACAGAAUGCUUAACACAUGCAAGUCAACUGUGGCGGACGGGUGAGUAACGCGUAAAGAUCUUGCCUCAUAGAUAGGGACAACAUUUGGAAACGAAUGCUAAUACCUGAUACUGUGAUAGAGCUUUGCGUCCCAUUAGCUAGUUGGAGAGGUAACGGCUCACCAAGGCGAUGAUGGGUAGCCGGCCUGCGAGUGAGAUCGGCCACAAGGGGAUGGAGACACGGCCCUUACGCCUAAGGGAGGCAGCAGUGGAGAAUAUUGGACAAUAGACCAAAGUCUGAUCGAGCAAUUCUGGGUGCACGAUGAAGUUGUCGGAAUGGAAAGUGCUUUCAGUUGGGAAGCGGUACCAACAGAAGAAGUGACGGCUAAAUACGUGCCAGCAGACGCGGUAAUUC